rfam:Gossypium hirsutum cultivar TM-1 chromosome 25, whole genome shotgun sequence
CUAGUGGCGUUUUUAAACGCCACAAAAUAUUCUUAAUAAUGAAGAA